UCUCAUUUUUUAUAGGUAUCACAUCCAGGAGACACCAGAAUGGAAGCCCUAGGCAAAGAGACAGACUUCCAUUCUCUGCCCACCCAAGGGCCUUGCGGAUCUGUUGACGAACCAGCUCGCUGGUAUCUGGCCCGUAGAGGAAGGAGCAGGCACAGCCCCGCUGCAUGACCUCAGCCCUGGAGAAGCCCGUGAGGUCACAGAAGCCAUCAGAGCAGUAGACCACAGGGAAGAGCCCUGCCACCUGGGCGUUGCCCAGCACGAAGUUACUGUCUGCAAGAGAACGCCUCUCAGAAGAGAGCAUGAACUGAAGGGCACCUUCACCUACCAGCCUGCGUCUCAAAACACCCUCGAAACCCACCGAAGGGUGGGCUUUCAUGCCCCAGGGGUGUUGUGUGUACUGGCCAAGACCUGUUUAUGAAUGAAGCAUGUCUGCUAGUCAGUCAGUAUCCCCAAGGGUCAGCUCCCAGCUGAAUAUGUCUGAGUGUGUUUGAGGAUCAGCAUACGUCAAUGCAGCGUGUUACAUGCAA